GACGAACGCUGGCGGCGUGCUUAACACAUGCAAGUCGAACGAAGUGGCGAACGGGUGAGUAACGCGUAAUCAACCUGCCCUUCAGAGGGGGACAACAGUUGGAAACGACUGCUAAUACCGCAUACUGAAGGAGGGGAUUGCGUCUGAUUAGCUAGUUGGGGGGGUAAGGGCCCAACAGGGCGAAGAUGAGUAGCCGGUCUGAGGGGGUGAACGACCACAUUGGGACUGGGACACGGCCCAGACUCCUACGGGAGGCAACAGUGGGGAAUCUUCCGCAAUGGACGGAAGGCUGGCGGAGCAAAGGCCCGGGAGUGAUGGCGGCCUUCGGGUUGUAAAGCUCUGUUAAUCGGGACGCGGUACCGGAAUAGAAAGCCACGGCUAACUACGUGCCAGCAGCCGCGGUAAUAC
rnacentral:rRNA from 1 species